rnacentral:rRNA from 1 species
GAGCUUCAAUUAAUUAACCCACAAAUUACUUUACCCUUUACAAAUAAUAAUCCUAAUUUAGAUGAGUUAAUAAUUUGGGUUGGGGUGACCUCGGAAUAAAACACAACUCCCGAGAAAAAUAUACCAAGACCAACAAGUCAAAGUCACAUUACAAUAUAAUGAUCCGUCACUGGCGAUCAACGAAAUAAGUUACCCUAGGGAUAACAGCGCAAUCCUAUUUAAGAGUUCAUAUCGACAAUUAGGGUUUAC